AUACUUACCAGGCGAGGGAAAACCGUGAUCAUAAAGGUGCUUUUCCGGGCAAGGCCCAUCCAUUGCACUUCUCAGGGUGCCGAUCUCUUCAAUUUCCCCAAAUGCGGGAGACUCGGUUGUGUAAUUUAAGGCAGUGGGGGACGGCGUUCACUUUCUUCUCUU
ensembl:snRNA U1 U1 spliceosomal RNA